rnacentral:rRNA from 1 species
UACGUAGGGUGCGAGCGUUAAUCGGAAUUACUGGGCGUAAAGCGUGCGCAGGCGGUUCGUUAAGUUCCGUUGUGAAAGCCCCGGGCUCAACCUGGGAACUGCAAUGGAAACUGGCGGGCUUGAGUGUGGCAGAGGGGGGUGGAAUUCCGCGUGUAGCAGUGAAAUGCGUAGAGAUGCGGAGGAACACCGAUGGCGAAGGCAGCCCCCUGGGCCAACACUGACGCUCAUGCACGAAAGCGUGGGGAGCAAACAGG